CACACAUUGUUCACAAUCACGCUGAAGGGUUCGUGCGGAUUCCGUACCUGUUUCGACAAUUUCCCGCGGAGUUAGAGGAUCGUACGAGAAGGGACGAUCACGGGAGGAAAGAGCACCGAGUAUAACGGCACCGUGAGCGCGCGAAGAGUUAAUUUUCGUAGGUCUCUAUUCAGGAACAUUUGAACGCAUAUCGAUUCCGCCGAUGCGUCGAAUUGAUCUGAAACACAGAAUUCCCGAUGCUGAGUGCCGUGCCGUCCUGCCGGUGCGCGUGGCCACAUCGUAGCCGACGUGGGGAAUACCCGCGGUUAGUCCCGCUGAACAUCGAGUAACAAUGUCCUUUGAACGUCUUGCAGACUACGCGCGAGUCGUAUUACAUUGUUUCGAGCGAGAGAUUACAAUAUUGGUGGAACGUUGCCGUCAGUUGGAGCUCGUCACUCAAUUCAACUCGGAGCUGUCUUGGAUCUCUACCUAACACCGUGAUCAUGACGACGUCCACCACUUUGGAGUUUUCGUUCUGUGAGAUGAGUCUCCAAAACCCAUGAUCCUGCUUCUGCACGUUCUUCACGUAGAAGCCGCACGCACCGUUCACCGGCCAAUAGUACAUUCUAUCGUCGCAACUGGCAUUCUUCUCGCUGCCGGCUACCUUGAGGUUGCACGUGUUAAGAAGCGGAGUCCUCACGUAACACGAUGUUUCGUCCUUUAAAAUCUGCAGGAGUUGCACCUGGACAUCUUGGCCCUCCUGGACCUCUACCGACGUAGGUAAGAUUCUCCUCUCUGACGCAGAACAAUGUUAAGGUAAGAAAUGAUCGGUGACCUCCGUAUACGGCUGGCGAACUGUACGCGCGCUCGAUCGUGAACUCGUACCUGCGUCGACGUCGCGAAUGAGCAAAGCGACACUCAGCACAAUGAGGCUCCUCAAGUGAACGGUACGGCACAUUUUCGCAAAAUGUAGAACACAGGAACACUGUGCAAGUGUCAUAUCAGAAAGGUAGAUGCGAUUAUCAAACAGAUAGAGUCUAUUGUUGAUAAUUAAUGAUAAGCGUAUUCGCUAGAUGACUUCUGGGCGUAAAAAGUGCGUUCUAUUUUGUUAAUACUCCUCUGUCAACGUGUCGAUCCGCGAUAGAGGCGUGUACCUUGCCGAAUGAAUAAUUCGGAUGCGCAAAGUUUAUACCGCAGAGCUUACGUCGACAUCGGGAUGAACCGAAUUCUUUUGGGAAGAUCUUUAUUAAAAAUCAGAGAUACGAGAAGAAAAA